rnacentral:rRNA from 1 species
AACGAGCGCUGGCGGCAGGCCUAACACAUGCAAGUCGAACGCCCUAGCAAUAGGGAGUGGCAGACGGGUGAGUAACACGUGGGAACCUUCCCUAUAGGAUGGAAUAGCCCAGGGAAACUUGGAGUAAUACCGUAUACGCCCGAGAGGGGAAAGAUUUAUCGGUAUAGGAUGGGCCCGCGUAGGAUUAGCUAGUUGGUGAGGUAAUGGCUCACCAAGGCGACGAUCCUUAGCUGGUCUGAGAGGACGACCAGCCACACUGGGACUGAGACACGGCCCAGACUCCUACGGGAGGCAGCAGUGGGGAAUAUUGGACAAUGGGCGCAAGCCUGAUCCAGCCAUGCCGCGUGAGUGAUGAAGGCCUUAGGGUUGUAAAGCUCUUUUGCCGGGGGCGAUAAUGACGGUACCCGGAGAAUAAGUCCCGGCUAACUUCGUGCCAGCCGCCGCAGUAA